GACGAACGCUGGCGGCGUGCUUAACACAUGCAAGUCGAACGGAAAGGCCCUGCUUUUGUGGGGUGCUCGAGUGGCGAACGGGUGAGUAACACGUGAGUAACCUGCCCUUGACUUUGGGAUAACUUCAGGAAACUGGGGCUCAUACCGGAUAGGAGCUCCUGCUGCAUGGUGGGGGUUGGAAAGUUUCGGCGGUUUGGGAUGGACUCGCGGCUUAUCCGCUUGUUGGUGGGGUAGUGGCUUACCAAGGUUUUGACGGGUAGCCGGCCUGAGAGGGUGACCGGCCACAUGGGGACUGAGAUACGGAGCAGACUCCUACGGGAGGCAGCAGUGGAGAAUAUUGCACAAUGGGCGGAAGCCUGAUGCAGCAACGCCGCGUGCGGGAUGACGGCCUUCGGGUUGUAAACCGCUUUGGCAGGUGACGAAGCGUGAGUGACGGUAAUGGGUAAAGAAGCAACGGCUAACUACGUG
rnacentral:rRNA from 1 species